GAGAGGUCCGAAGAGCUGUUCGAAAAUGAGGUCGGAGAAGAAGAGUAUGAUGGCAGCUGUUCUCCUCUGAUAUCAGAAGAACUAUCUGACCCAAGAUGAUCAUGCAAUAUUUCAAGAAUUCAUUGCAAGAAAGUUAACCAACUGUGACCUGAUUUUGUUUUGGGACACUUUAUAAGUUACUUCAAUAUAUAGUGACACUACUUUUCGAUUGUUAGCAAAAUAGGCAGGCUCUCAGGCAUGGUUGUUUUCAACGCCAGUGGGAAAUUUGAAGCGUGAAAGAAAAUGCCAAGUCAUAUGUUUCAAUCAUCGGAAAAUUUUGAACUUGCCUACAAAUUGAAAAAUUAUGUUAUUAUUGAAAUGAUUUUUAAAAUAAUUGUAAUUUAUCAUCGCAAAAUAUUACUGUCUUUAUCCGUUUUACACGAUUAUUUAGAAGUAAAUAUCUUAUUGUAUAUAAAAUUUCUUUAUCUAUUUAUUAGUGUAAAUAAGUGAUCCUGAUUUUUGCUGAAAAUUAACUAAGCGAAAUUCGAUCAGAUAGCUCGAAAAAAAAUGCAGACGGAUCGAAAGGAGUAAUUAUAUACCAAUGAUAUAAGCGAAAAUCACUAGUAAUCGUAGUCACUCCUCUCGUUGACUAGACUUUUGAACGCGCUUUUCUAACUCUUUUCCACUCAACUAAAUUCCGCGAAAUUUUAAAUGCAAGGGAAAGAGAAUAACCAUUUCAUCAAGCUCUCCCACAUAUUUUACCUCUCUUUAGCAGAAUCCCAUGCAAUAAUUUAGUUGAAAACUGAAGAGAGAUGAUGUCGUCUUCGCGAGAUAAUUGGGAGAGGCUGGUGGCGGCGGUGUUGAAGAGAGAUGAGAUACGCCAACUCUGCCACCAAAACUCCAUCUCCACCACGUCAUCCGAUAGUCCGAGAACCUCUACUUCCAGUGGAGAUCUUUCCAGGUGAUUUUGUGUUCAUCUCAAUUUCGGGCGUAAAUUACAGCAUCAGUGACGUUUCUAAUAAAAAAAUUCCUCGACUGCUAUGGAAAUUUGAGAAUAUUUCAGAAUUCUGGGCAACAUAUUGAAGCGUAUACCCGUAUCACCACCGCAUCAACCGCCGCUUACUAGCGCUCCUGGCCUCGAAGGUUCGUCUCCAUUUACAUAUUACAAGUCGUUGGCGGGAUUAGAGUAUAUGAUCUUGCAAUUGCUAUCAUAUAUGUUGUCAUUGUAUAAUUGGGGAAAAUUGAAUUAGAGUCUUUGUGCUUUGCGGAACUGGAUAAAACAAGGAAGACGUUUGGUUUGGCUUAAGCUUUGUUUAAAUUUGUAUAUUUAGUAUAUGAGUUUAGAAAUAAGUUACAGAUGAUGGAGCUUCUGAAAUGUUAAUAAUGAUAAAUUUGUAACUAUUUUAAAGCAAAAGAAACUGUUUUGACAUCUUAGGAACUAUCUUAAACAGCUUGUAGUUUCAUUUAAGAACCGAUCCCUUUUUCACCUCACAACAACAUUUUGGAGUAGUGUCUUUUUUUUUAUACAAGAAUACAACAUAAAUUGCAAUCAUAAACAGAUCAGUGUCCACUUAGAUCAAUACAAUCUGUGAAAAAAUCCCAGAAAAACUUAGGUCAAUCAAUCUACACACAAUAGAAAUCAGAUCUCUGACCUCAACCUCUCAUUGGUUACUUUGAACCGAUACUUAAAAGAGUUUUCUUAAACUGGACCAUAUCUUUUGAUUAAUGUUUAAUUCUUAGCUAAAUGGUAUGGAAUUGCAGCUGGGAAAACUGCUUCUGGACCUAUUACAAGGAAGCUAUUUUCUGCUUCGCUUUGGAGGAGGAAACCGAAGGACUACAAUCUGGGCCAAGGUUUGGUUGGCAUUCCUGGUUAGUUGCAAAAUGGCUUGAAAUAAACUUUGUAUACAUAUUGCAUAUAGCUAUAUGAACAGAGUAACUUAUUUUCUUCAACUGUUGAUGAAGAGGAUCAUUUUGGACUUGAGAGCUUUUCGCUGCGCGAGCUACUUGUUGCGACAGACAAUUUCAGCAACAACAAUUUCCUUGGACGUGAUGGACUUGAUGGACUUGGUAAAGUGUAUAAAGGUCAACUAGCAGAUGGCUCUCUAGUACAAGUUACAAGACUACGACGACAAGAAAUUGAGAUAAAUUUGGAAAUUACAAGCAUUGCUGCACAUUGUAAUGUACUUCGUGCUCGUGGAUUUUGCUUUACGCAAAAAGAGAAGCUGCUCGUUUAUCCUUGCAUGGUUAAUAAAAGUGUGGCGUUCUGGUUAAGAGGUAAUCUCAAUCAAAUAUUCAUAUUCUUUCGUUGGUCUAUUUUUGUUCGAUAACCAUAUUAGGCUUCGUGAAGAACUGAGGGUUGCAGUUUUACAGACUGUUGGAAUAGAUUUGUAGCUUCUUUUAAACCCCUUUUUAAGUCAUCUAGAGGGAAAGUAACCAUAAUUAGUAAUUGAGGGCAAGUUUGUAUAUACAAUUUAGUUGUGAGAAUUUAGAUUUGUUUGUUUGUUUGUUUGUUUUUGGAUAAAUUAACAGUAUUAAAUAAAGAAAUUUAAAGGCCGCGCCACAAGGUACUCGAACCCAAGACCUUUGGCCUUAUGCAUUAACCCCCUUACCACUUGGCCAACACACUCACACACAGUUUUGUUUGUUAUAUUAUGUAAAGUCUUUGUGUUUAUUAUAUUUUGCAAUUGAUUUGGGAUUUUGUUUUGAUACAUCAUAUUUCUAAUAAACCUACUGACUCCAGAAAGACAUGAGGAGCCAUUGCCUCCCCUUGACUGGCCAACAAGGAAACAGAUAUCGCUUGGGGCUGCAAAAGGUCUAGCUUACUUGCAUUAUGAAUGCCCCAGGAAAAUCAUUCAUCGUGAUGUUAAAGCUGCAAAUAUAUUGUUGGAUGAGAACUUUGAAGCAGUUAUUGCUGACUUAACUUUGGGCGAAUUUGUCGAUCGCUGCGAUAGUGAUAUUGUCAUUCCAAUAAUAGGAACAAUUGGUCAUAUAGCUCCUGAGUACCUUGCUACUGGUAAGUGUUCGGUGAAAAUUGAUGUUUAUGGUUAUGGAAUGUUUCUUCUUGAGCUCAUCACAGCACAGAGAGCUUUUGAUCCUGCUCGUCUUGCCAAUGAUGAUGACGUGAUGUUACUAGAUUGGGUGAGUCUUGAUCUUAACUCAUCUACUCUCUUAAAAAUGCAGAUGUAAGGCAUUGCAAAUCAUUUAAAUAGUUGGAAGCUUAAAUACUUUGUGAUAAGAGAUAUUUUGAUCAUUGUAAUAUAAUCUUGUGAUGAUGAGUCUUGGCAAUAUUUGCAUUUGAAAUUUUGAAGUAGCAAUUUCAGAAAUAUAAAGUUCUUGACGCAUUUUUCAGUUCCAUCCAUUAUUAUUUUUAUUAUUUGGUUUCUUGGAAUUUUAUAAUUUUACCUCAGGUAAAUCAAAUUUUCAAGGAGAGAGAAUGGAAAGUGAUUGUCGAUUCAGAACUUCAAGGUGAUUUCGUAGAUGAAGAAGCCGAGGAGUUGUUGCAAAUUGCUCUGAUCUGCACACAAACUGAUCCAGAACAACGUCCGAUGAUGUUGGAAGUUGUGAGGAUGUUAGAAGUUGCAUAUGAGUUGGCUGAGAUGGAGGCAGAGUGGUUCAUGGAUAAUUUCGAAGGAAAUACUUUGGAACGUCAUUAUGUUACGUAGGAUUUUUGCUCUAGGAUAAACUACAGGCAGCAACAGAGGAUUUUAGCGACAAAAUUAUCAGUGAAGAUAGUUUUAAUAUUAUCUAUAAAGGCUUAUUUAGAUGGCUCUCCUGUCGCAGUUUAAAAGAUACAAUUCUCAAAGCCUAGAAUAUUAUUUCGCAAAAGAAUUAGAGAUUGGCACAACUUGUUUCCAUCCAAAUCUAGUCCACGUGAUUGGAUUUUGCCGGACUCCAGAAGAACGACUGCUUGUUUUCCGGUUGAUGGUCAAUGGAAGUGUCGAAUCAUGGUUAAGGGGUAAGCUUGACCAAGUGUUAUUCAAUUUCUCUUCUACAUAUGUAUAGGUAUGAUUUUACUGUGAUCUCUUGAGAUAUAUUGCAUCUUCUAUUUGCUAUAUUGUACCAAAAAGUUCAUUAUCUUUGACCAGAUUUUGGUUUUAGACACGACUUGAAAACGUUUCAAUGAUGACACCACUUUUUUGAUUUGUAGCAAAAUAGUCGACCUUACGUUUCGAUAGUGAGGCCAUUAUUGAAACGUUUAAUGAGUUGUAAUCUAAAACAUAAAAAUUGGGUCAAAGUUGGUGAAUAUUUGGGAAAUUAACCCUUAUUUUAGUAGGUUCUGGUUGGUUAACUUAUUCUUUAUAAAGUUUAUAGGGAUGCAUGAUGCAAGGUAAUUACUUGUGUACGAGAAAUGUCCCGUUUUCUUAAUAUUGUGCAUGAGAACCUCAUUCUCCUUUCUGCAAGUUGCAACUCUUGCUUUAGCUUGCCUGAUAAUGUAUAUUUAGCACAAUCAUAAUAUCCUCUCUCACGCAGCACAUCAAUGUUUCCCACUUUCCUAAGAUUAGGAAAUUAACAUUGCAUGUUGACAUAUUUUGCAGAGAGCAGAUCGGUUUAGUGGAUUUAUUGUUUUCAAUUUUUCUGUUGCAUAGACAUAAGUUUCUGAAUUUACUAUAUGUAGCAGGGAGACGAUGAAUCACGGCCUCCUCUCACUUGGCAAGAAGAAAAGGAAUAGCACUUGGUGCAGCAAGGGGUCUAGCUUAUUUACAUGAUAAAUGUGAAAUGAAAAUCAUUCAUUGCGAUGUCAAAGCUGCAAAUAUAUUGUUAGAUGAAAACUUUGAAGCAGUCGUUGCUGACUUGAAGUCAGCCAAGUUCAUGGACCACAGCAUGACUCAUAUUACCACAACCGUGACAGGAACAAUUGGUCAUAUGGCUCCCGAGUACCUCGCCAGUGGUAGGUGUUCGGAUAAAAACUGAUGUUUUUGGUUAUGGAGCAUUUCUUCUUGAGCUCAUCACAGGGCACAGAACUGCCGAUCUUCUUGAUGUAGCCGAUGAGGAAGAUAGGCUGUAGUGCUUAUGGGUAAGAUCAACUUGCCUAUUAAGUUUAUUCUAUGACUACCAAGACAUUGCUAGUUCGUAAGUCCCCUAUUUUGCAGUUCUAGUUUGCCCAUCUCAUACAUCUAAUCUCAGGUAAAAAAGAAUUACAAAGAGGGAAGAUGGAAAUUGAUGGUUGACAAAGAUAGUGGUGGAGGUGAUUUCAUGGACGAAGUGGUGGUGGAUCAGCUGGUGAAAAUAGCUGUUCUCUGCACACAAUAUGAUCCGGACAGACGUCCGAGGAUGUCGCGUGUUGUGAGUAUAUUAAAAUAUGGUUGUGGUGUGGCUGAGUGGUCCGAUGAGCGGUUUGAAAAAGAGGUCGGAGAAGAAGAGUAUGAUGGCAGCUGUUCUCCUCGGAUAUCAGAAAAACUAUCUGAGCCAAGAUGAUCAUGCAAUAUUUCAAGAAUUAGAGAUUGGCAGAACUUGUUUCCAUCCAAAUCUAGUGCAUGUGAUUGGAUUUUGCGAGACUCCAGAAGAACGACCGCUUGUUUUCCGGUUGAUGGUCAAUGGAAGUGUCGAAUCAUGGUUAAGGGGUAAGCUUGACCGAAUGUUAUUCAAUUGCUCUUCUACAUAUGUAUAGGUAUCAUGAUUUUACUGUGAUCUCUUGAGAUAUGUUGCAUCUUCUAUUUACUAUUUUGUACCAAGAAGUUCAUCAGCUUUUACUAGAUUUUGGAUUUGGGGGGUGUAUUCGUUGUAGAAUUUGAUGGAUUUAUAUGGAUUUUAAAAGUCUGGGUGUAUUCGUUCAAGACUUUUAAAAGUCUGCAGAAAUCUGGGUGUAUUCGUUCAAAACUUUUAAAAGUCCAUAUAAAUCUGGGUGUAUUCGUUCAAGAUUUUUUAAAAUCCAUACAAAUUUAGGUGUAUUCGUUAUUCCAUUGACUUAAAAUCCGGAAUGACUUUCAUGGAUUUCAUCCAAAAAAUACACACGACAAAAUCCGGCCAAGAACCACGAGAAUUGAAAUCCAUGAAGUUUUAAGCGAGCGCUGAGUUCCAGCUCCCGCGGGGGUGUCCAGCGAGCGCUGGGUGUGCGCGGGCGCUGGGUUCCCAGCGGCCGCUGGGUUGCCGCGGUCGCUGGGUCCAGGCAGCCCAGCCACCCACGCUUUUUAUACUGCUCUUCGGUUUUUUUUUUCUCAUUACUCCAAAAAUAUACCACAGAAGCAGACUUUGGUUUUUCAGCGCUCGCUGGAACUCAGCGGUCGCUGGGUUUCCAGCGGUUGCUGGGACUCCGUGGGCGUUGGGUCUCUUCUAGCGGGCGCUGAUUUCAUGGAAUUCAAUUCCAAAAUUAUCCCGUAAAGUCUUCGAAAAUCAAUGAAAAUCGGGGUGAAAUCCAACCACGAAUUCUUUGAAAGUCGUCUGAAAUCUAUGUGAAUUCCAUGGAAUUUAAAUUCCAUGUACUUUUUAAAGUCUGUGGAAAUCCACAACGAAUACACCCCCUUAGACACGAGUCCACGACUUUAAAAUGUUUCAAUAAUGACACCACUCUUUGGAUUUGUAGCAACAUAGUCGACCUCACGUUUCAAUAGUGAGGCCAUUAUUGAAACGUUUAAUGAGUCAUAUCUAAACCUAAAGUUGGGUAAAAGUUCAUGAAUAUUGGGGCAAUUGUGUACGAGAAAUGUACCUUUUUCUUAAUAUUGUGCAUGAGAACCUCAUUUCUCCUUUUUGCAAGUUGCAACUCUUGCUUUAGUUUGCCUGAUAAGUGAUAAUAUAUAUUUAGCACAAUUACUUAUCCAAUUAGGAGAUUUACACAACCUUCAUCUCCAUGUUUAUCAUAUUUUCCUCCCACACUAGUAUAAAUAGGGACUCAAUUCCUACUAUAUAAAAAAAAGAGACACGCAUACAUAGCCUAAGGUAAAAUUUUUAUUCCUUUUUACCAUCAAAGUCAGAAGGGUUUUUGUUGGCUAAUUGGUUUGACGUUGAAGUUAAAGGCAAAUAGUUAUUUAGGACUUUCAUCCGUCAAGAUAAUCCAAAGCGAGUUUAAGGUGGGGAAUUAUAUGCUCGUUGUUAUAUCCAUGCAUGUUUUUAUGUGUUUUAAAUUCAUGUUUGAUUAUAUUUGCUCAAUUACAUGUCCAAAUACAUGUUCAGUUUAUCAUGUUCAAAUACAUGAUUAGAGAUUUUGUUACAUGUCCAUAUACAUGUUCAGUUUAUCAUGUCUGUUUGCCACUCAGAUUUCUGUAUAUGUGCAUGACAAUGUGAUUUAUUAACAUGCUUUAGAGUAUGUAGAUAUUUGCCUUGUUCCUCACUGAGUAUAUUUUCAACAUGAUCACUCUAUUUUCCUUUCAGUUUUGCAGUUUCUGGAGUCCAAGCAGUCCCGGGAGCCGAGAAUGACUAGUACGAAUAGUUUAUUUUCUUUGUUAUAUCUUUUUUAGUUCAAUGAAAUUUAUGAUAAAUUUAAAUUCAGACCACUUAGUUAGAUUUCCUAUGUUAUGGUUUUUUUUUUAGAAAUUGUUUCAAUUUAAAAUAUUUAUUUAAUGGACAUGGCAAUAGAUUUGUUUAAGUUUGUCAAAUUGGUUUUAAUUUGCUAAACUUUUAUAGUCAAGUUUGGUUAUUUAUUUAAUUUUAGUGUGUUAAAAAUUAGAGUGUAACAUAUCAUCUCUCACGCAGCACAUCAAUGUUUCCCACUUAUCCUAAGAUUAGGCAAUUAACAUCGCAUGUUGAGAUAUUUUGCAGAGAGCAGAUCGCUUUAGUGGAUUUAUUGUUUUCAAUUUUUCUGUUGCAUAGACAUAAGUCUCACUUGGCAGAGAUGAAAAAGGAUAGCACUUGGUGCGGCAAGGGGUCUAGCUUAUUUGCAUGAAAAAUGUGGAAAGAAAAUCAUUCAUCGCGAUGUCAAAGCUGCAAAUAUAUUGUUAGAUGACAACUUUGAAGCAGUCGUUGCUGACUUCAAGUCAGCCACGUUCAUGGACCACAGCACGACUCAUAUUACCACAACCGUGGCGGGAACAAUUGGUCAUAUAGCUCCCGAGUACCUUGCCAGUGGUAGGUGUUCGGAUAAAACUGAUGUUUUUGGUUAUGGAGAAUUUCUUCUUGAGCUCAUCACAGGGCACAGAACUGUCGAACUUCUUGAAGUAGCCGAUGAGGAAGAUAGGAUGUGUGCUGAUUGGGUGAGAUCAACUUGCCUUUUAAGUUUUAUUCUAUGUCUACCUGAGAGUUUGCUAGUUGUAAGUCAUUAUAAAUCUAAUCUCAGGUAAAAAAGAAUUACGAAGAGGGAAGAUGGAAAUCGAUGGUUGAGAAAGAUAGUGGUGGAGGUGAUUUCAUGGACGCAGUGGUGGUGAAGCAGCUGGUGAAAAUAGCUGUUCUCUGCACACAAUACGAUCCCGACAGACGUCCGAGGAUGUCGCAUGUUGUGAGUAUGCUAAAAUGUGGUUGUGGUGUGGCUGAGAGGUCCGACCAGAGGUUCAAAGAAGUGGUCGGAGAAGAAGAGUAUGAUGGCAGCUGUUCUCCUCUGAUAUCAGAAGAACUAUCUGACCCAAGAUGAUCAUGCAAUAUUUCAAGAAUUCAUUGCAAGAAAGUUCACCAUGCUGUGACCUGAUUUUGUUUUGGGACACACUUUAUAAGUUACUUCAAUAGUGAAACUACUUUUCGAUUUGUAGCAAAAUAGGCAGGCUCAAGAUUUUCCAACGAUUGAAAAAUGGACUUAGGCAUGAUUGUUUUCAACGCCAGUGGGAAAUUUGAA
rnacentral:lncRNA from 1 species